UACGGGGGGAGCAAGCGUUGUUCGGAUUUACUGGGCGUAAAGGGCGCGUAGGCGGCCACCGCAAGUCGGUUGUGAAAUCUCUGGGCUUAACCCAGAAAGGUCAACCGAUACUGCGGGACUAGAGUGCAGAAGGGGCAACUGGAAUUCUCGGUGUAGCGGUGAAAUGCGUAGAUAUCAGGAAGAACACCCGUGGCGAAGGCGGCUCUCUGGGACGGUACUGACGCUGAGACGCGAAAGCGUGGGGAGCGAACAGG
rnacentral:rRNA from 1 species